GGUGCUGACGAGUGGCGGACGGGUGAGUAAAGCGUAGGGAUCUGCCUGUUGGAGUGGGAUAACCUAGGGAAACUUAGGGUAAUACCGCGUAAGCCCGGAAGGGGAAAGCAUGGGACCGCAAGGCCAUGCGCCAAUAGAUGAACCUACGUUGGAUUAGCUAGUUGGUAGGGUAAAGGCCUACCAAGGCGAUGAUCUAUAGCUGGUUUGAGAGAGCGACCAGCCACACUGGGACUGAGACACGGCCCAGACUCCUACGGGAGGCAGCAGUGGGGAAUCUUGGACAAUGGGGGAAACCCUGAUCCAGCAAUGCCGCGUGUGUGAAGAAGGCCUGCGGGUUGUAAAGCACUUUAGUUGGGGAAGAGAGAUAAUUUGCUAAUAGUAGGUUAUUGAGACAUUACCCAAAGAAUAAGCACCGGCUAACUCUGUGCCAGCAGCCGCGGUAAUACAGAGGGUGCAAGCGUUAAUCGGAAUUACUGGGCGUAAAGGGUGUGUAGGUGGUUAUAUAAGUUAGGUGUGAAAGUCCUGGGCUUAACCUGGGGACGGCGCUUAAUACUGUAUAGCUAGAGUACUGUAGAGGGAAGUGGAAUUUCCGGUGUAGCGGUGAAAUGCGUAGAUAUCGGAAGGACACCAGUGGCGAAGGCGACUUCCUGGAC
rnacentral:rRNA from 1 species